CGGAGGGGGCGUAGCGUUGUUCGGAAUUACUGGGGCGUAAAGCGCACGUAGGCGGGACCAGAAAGUUAGGGGGUGGAAAGUCCCGGGGCGUCAACCUCGGAACUGCCUUCAAAACUAAUUGGUCUUGAGUUCGAGAGAGGUGAGUGGAAUUCCGAGUGUAGAGGUGAAAUUCGUAGAUAUUCGGAGGAACACCAGUGGCGAAGGCGGCUCACUGGCUCGGAUACUGACGCUGAGGUGCGAAAGACGUGGGGAGCAAACAGGAUU
rnacentral:rRNA from 1 species